rnacentral:rRNA from 1 species
GAUGAACGCUGGCGGCGUGCCUAAUACAUGCAAGUCGAGCGAACAGACGAGGAGCUUGCUCCUCUGACGUUAGCGGCGGACGGGUGAGUAACACGUGGAUAACCUACCUAUAAGACUGGGAUAACUUCGGGAAACCGGAGCUAAUACCGGAUAAUAUAUUGAACCGCAUGGUUCAAUAGUGAAAGACGGUUUUGCUGUCACUUAUAGAUGUAUCCGCGCCGCAUUAGCUAGUUGGUAAGGUAACGGCUUACCAAGGCGACGAUGCGUAGCCGACCUGAGAGGGUGAUCGGCCACACUGGAACUGAGACACGGUCCAGACUCCUACGGGAGGCAGCAGUAGGGAAUCUUCCGCAAUGGGCGAAAGCCUGACGGAGCAACGCCGCGUGAGUGAUGAAGGUCUUCGGAUCGUAAAACUCUGUUAUUAGGGAAGAACAAAUGUGUAAGUAACUAUGCACGUCUUGACGGUACCUAAUGAGAAAGCCACGGCUAACUACGUG